rnacentral:rRNA from 1 species
UACGAAGGGGGCUAGCGUUGUUCGGAAUUACUGGGCGUAAAGCGUGCGUAGGCGGUUCGUUAAGUUCGUUGUGAAAGCCCCGGGCUCAACCUGGGAACUGCAAUGGAAACUGGCGGGCUUGAGUGUGGCAGAGGGGGGUGGAAUUCCGCGUGUAGCAGUGAAAUGCGUAGAGAUGCGGAGGAACACCGAUGGCGAAGGCAGCCCCCUGGGCCAACACUGACGCUCAGGCACGAAAGCGUGGGGAGCAAACAGG